CCUACGGGGGGCUGCAGUGAGGAAUAUUGGUCAAUGGGCGAGAGCCUGAACCAGCCAAGUAGCGUGAGGGAUGACUGCCCUACGGGUUGUAAACUUCUUUUAUAAGGGAGUAAUGUGAGCCACGUGUGCCUUUUUGUAUGUACUUUAUGAAUAAGGAACGGCCAACUCCGUGCCAGGAGCCGCGGUAAUACGGAGGAUCCGAGCGUUAUCCGGAUUUAUUGGGUUUAAAGGGAGCGUAGGCGGAUUGAAAAGUUAGAGGUGAAAUGGCCGAGCUUAACUCGGGAACUGCCUUUGAUACUGGUGAUCUAGAGAGUGGGUGCGGUAGGCGGAAUGUAUGGUGUAGCGGUGAAAUGCUUAGAGAUCA
rnacentral:rRNA from 1 species